rnacentral:rRNA from 1 species
UAGGUGACAAGCGUUGUCCGGAUUUAUUGGGUUUAAAGGGUGCGUAGGCGGCCUUUUAAGUCAGCGGUGAAAGUCUGUGGCUCAACCAUAGAAUUGCCGUUGAAACUGGGGGGCUUGAGUAUGUUUGGGGCAGGCGGAAUGCGUGGUGUAGCGGUGAAAUGCUUAGAUAUCACGCAGAACCCCGAUCGCGAAGGCAGCCUGCCAAGCCAUGACUGACGCUGAUGCACGAAAGCGUGGGGAUCGAA